CCUACGGGUGGCAGCAGUCGAGAAUCAUUCACAAUGGGGGAAACCCUGAUGGUGCGACGCCGCGUGGGGGAAUGAAGGUCUUCGGAUUGUAAACCCCUGUCAUGUGGGAGCAAAUUAAAAAGAUAGUACCACAAGAGGAAGAGACGGCUAACUCUGUGCCAGCAGCCGCGGUAAUACAGCGGUCUCAAGCGUUGUUCGGAAUCACUGGGCGGAAAGCGUGCGUAGGCUGUUUCGUAAGUCGUGUGUGAAAGGCGCGGGCUCAACCCGCGGACGGCACAUGAUACUGCGAGACUAGAGUAAUGGAGGGGGAACCGGAAUUCUCGGUGUAGCAGUGAAAUGCGUAGAUAUCGAGAGGAACACUCGUGGCGAAGGCGGGUUCCUGGACAUUAACUGACGCUGAGGCACGAAGGCCAGGGGAGCGAAAGGGAUUAGAUACCCGUGUAGUC
rnacentral:rRNA from 1 species